UAAUAGCCAUUGAAGGAAAGAGUAACGGAGUAUGCGAUAGGAAAGAGAAAGAAUUCCCAGGCUGAAAGAAUUCUUGCUAUUUGUCUCAUGUGAAAGACAUUCCAGAGGCUUUGUACUGAAAUAGAGUAAGUAUGAACGUAAGCAGGCGUUAACUGUUUGAGUGGAAGUAAUCUUACUUCAACUAGGGUGGCAACACGGGUAAACUCUCGUCCCUUUU
rnacentral:ncRNA from 1 species